GUAGUAAAUGUUGCCAAAAAGGCAGAACCACAGACUGACUGACAUCAAAAGGGACCUCUCUGGACUAUGGGGGCUAUAAGAAAGAGGGGGACAGGCUUUUCAGCAGAGUCUGCUGUGACAGGACAAGGGGAAAUGAUUUCAAACUAAAAGAGGGGAGGCUUAACUGGAUAUAAAGAAAAAGUUUUUUAUGAUAAGUGUGGUGAGGCACUAGAUUGAACAAUAUACCCAGAGAAGUGGUGGAAGCCCCAUCCUUAGAGACAUUCAAGGUCAGGCUGGUCAGGGCUCUGAGCAACCUGAUCUAGUUGUAAGUGUUGCUGUUCAUUGCAGGGAAGUUGGACUAGGUGACCCUCAAAGGUCUCUUCCAACCCCAGUGAUUCCAUGAUUCUAUGAUCCGAUCACUUCCCUUUUUUCCUUCCAGCAUAAACACUAAUUUACAGUAUUCCAUACUAACACUGCAAAGGUGUUUUUUUUUUUUUUUUUUUUUCCUCUCUGUAUGUGAUCUCUUAUUUUUGUGCAUGUGUUAGCUCUCAUGAUUGGAAAAAUGUACUGCUUCUAGCACAGAAUUUUCAGCCUAUAAUUUUAGUUUGGAUUUCACUGCACUGAUUUCAGUGCAGUUGUUCCUGAGUUACAUAUGAAGAACAGAAAGACAGUAGCAGAGGAACACUGAUAAAAUGGUGCCUGACAUGAAGCAGAAGUAUGCAAUUAUUUCCUCCACGUGGAAAAAAAGUUGCAUCCACAUACAGUGAUGCUUGCUGAACGCAUAUGAAGACCGAACAGUGGAUGUGAGCACUGUGAGGCGGUGGGUGGUGCAUUUCAGCAACGGUGACAAUGAUGUGAAAGACAAGCCAUAUUCUGGACAUCCUUGCACAGCUGUCACACUAUGAAAUGGAGAGCAUCUUGAUCAGCUCAUCUGGGUGGUUUACUUCAGAUUGGUGAGGUGCUGAUUUUAUUUAUGUAAAUGGAAGAUGUUAUAACUCGGAAAUUGAAAGCUCAGUGAGGUAAAGUAGAAAACAAUUCUGAGUCUAUUGCUCAUGGACUUGAUCUUCAUCAUUUGGUAUAAAUGGAUGGCAAGAGAUGCAGAAUUCUCAACUCUGAACUAUUGAUCCUCUAUAGCUAUUUGUUCAGGCUCUAAAUCCCAUCUGGCUGAAAAUGCAGCUUAGGUUUUCUAUGAGCCAUAAAUUAUAAACGUUAUGCUUGUGCUCUCUGGAACACUCUCAGACUUGAUAUACUCAGGGAAUUUCUUGUUAGGACUUGAGACUAGCCAUUAUCCAAAAAAGUGUAGUAGUUAUCUUCACAUAUUUAUGAACAUUAUUCAGAAACAUACACUGUCAAAAUAUUUCUGUCAGCGUGAACAAAUGCUUGUUCUUCAUUGUUACACCACUUUCAUCUAAAAUUCUUACCUUCACAAUGCAAAAUCAUUCAGAGAAGAAACUGAGGAAAAUUCAGUAAGAGUUUUACUCAGAGGUUUUUAUGCAAUACGAAUGGUAAUGUUUACUCAACAGUGAUUGUCCCA
ensembl:lncRNA